GAUGAACGCUGGCGGCGUGCCUAAUACAUGCAAGUCGAGCGAACAGACGAGGAGCUUGCUCCUUUGACGUUAGCGGCGGACGGGUGAGUAACACGUGGGGAACCUACCUAUAAGACUGGGAUAACUUCGGGAAACCGGAGCUAAUACCGGAUAAUAUUUCGAACCGCAUGGUUCGAUAGUGAAAGAUGGCUUUGCUAUCACUUAUAGAUGGACCUGCGCCGUAUUAGCUAGUUGGUAAGGUAACGGCUUACCAAGGCAACGAUACGUAGCCGACCUGAGAGGGUGAUCGGCCACACUGGAACUGAGACACGGUCCAGACUCCUACGGGAGGCAGCAGUAGGGAAUCUUCCGCAAUGGGCGAAAGCCUGACGGAGCAACGCCGCGUGAGUGAUGAAGGUCUUCGGAUCGUAAAACUCUGUUAUUAGGGAAGAACAAACGUGUAAGUAACUGUGCACGUCUUGACGGUACCUAAUCAGAAAGCCACGGCUAACUACGUG
rnacentral:rRNA from 1 species